rnacentral:misc_RNA from 1 species
GGCAGCAGUGGAGGGGGAGGAGGAGGACGAUAUGGGUCUCGCCGCAGAAGCAGAUCUCGAUCUAGAUCCCCUUACAAAAGACGAAGAUCUUACUCCAGAAGUCGCAGCAGAAGUAGGGACAGGAGGCGAUCCAGAUCAGCAAGUGGAGAUAGACGCAGAAGUCGUUCAAGGAGUGCAUCAAAAUCCCGCAGUCGCUCCAGAUCCAUCAGUCGUUCAAAGAGCCGAUCACCAAUCAACGAGGGCGGGGAUGCCAAGGCAGGGUCGAGAUCCCGCAGUCCCCCCUCUGACCACGAGUAGCGACUGCGCGUGUGUUGAGGGAGGAGUCAGAGACGGGGCAUCAUCUUUUAUACUUCACAAACAUUCAUCGUGCUCUGUGUUUUGGCAUUUUUUAAAUGAAAUAAUCUCACCAUUUUAGGAAACAUAUCUUCAUGUGAAUAUUGAAUAUUUUAAAGUAUGUUUUGCUGACAUUGUUUCUUAAAUAAAAAAAAAUGUUAUGUGUGUCGUG